GACGAACGCUGGCGGCGUGCUUAACACAUGCAAGUCACGGGGGUCGCAAGGAUAACCGGCGAACGGGUGCGUAACACGUGAGCAACCUACCGAUUUGUGGGGGAUAGCCGGCCCAACGGCCGGGUAAUACCGCAUACGCUUCUCGAGAGGAGUCUCUUGAGAAGGAAACCUCCGGGGCAAAUCGAGGGGCUCGCGGCCUAUCAGCUUGUUGGCGAGGUCACGGCUCACCAAGGCGANGACGGGUAGCUGGUCUGAGAGGAUGGCCAGCCACAUUGGGACUGAGAGACGGCCCAGACUCCUACGGGAGGCAGCAGUGGGGAAUCUUGCGCAAUGGUCGAAAGACUGACGCAGCGACGCCGCGUGCGGGAGGAAGCUCUUCGGGGUGUAAACCGCUGUUGCCCGGGACGAAUGCGGCAUUUUAAUGCCGUUGACGGUACCGGUGAGGAAGCACCGGCUAACUCUGUGCCAGCAG
rnacentral:rRNA from 1 species